rnacentral:rRNA from 1 species
UGCCUAACACAUGCGAAGUCGAGCGGGGACGAUGCGACGGAUUUGAAGUUUCGGAUGGAAAUGAAGAUGUAUGUUCUAGCGGCGGACGGGUGAGUAACGCGUGAGCAGCCUGUCCCUUACAGGGGGAUAACACAGCGAAAGUUGUACUAAUACCGCAUAAGACCACGGAGUCACAUGAUUCAGGGGUCAAAGGAGCAAUCCGGUGAGGGGUGGGCUCGCGCCCGAUUAGAUAGUUGGUGAGGUAACGGCCCACCAAGUCGACGAUCGGUAGCCGACCUGAGAGGGUGAUCGGCCACAUUGGGACUGAGACACGGCCCAAACUCCUACGGGAGGCAGCAGUGGGGAAUAUUGGGCAAUGGGGGGAACCCUGACCCAGCAACGCCGCGUGAGGGAAGAAGGUUUUCGGAUCGUAAACCUCUGUCCUUGGUGAAGAGUAAGAGACGGUAGCCAAGGAGGAAGCCCCGGCUAACUACGUGCCAGCAGCAGC